UAAUAACAUAGGUGUAUUAUGUAGGGGGAUUUGAAAUGGAUUUAGUGGGAAAAUAUAAACUGGUGGUCAACAUGAACCAAUAUCUAUAUUAGGAGCCAAACUUA